UGGGGAAUUGUUCGCAAUGGGCGAAAGCCUGACCCAGCAACGCCGCGUGUGGGAUGAAGGCCCUCGGGUCGUAAACCACUGUCAGGAGGAAAGAAAAGUCGGCCGGAUAAUACUCGGUCGACCUGACGGUACCUCCAAAGGAAGCACCGGCUAACUCCGUGCCAGCAGCCGCGGUAAUACGGAGGGUGCAAGCGUUGUUCGGAAUUACUGGGCGUAAAGCGCGUGUAGGUGGUCGAGUAAGUCGAAUGUGAAAGCCCCGGGCUCAACCCGGGAAGUGCAUCCGAAACUGCUCGACUAGAGUCCCGGAGAGGAAGGCAGAAUUCCCAAUGUAGGGGUGAAAUCCGUAGAUAUUGGGAGGAAUACCGGUGGCGAAGGCGGCCUUCUGGACGGUGACUGACACUCAGACGCGAAAGCGUGGGGAGCAAACAGGAUUAGAUACCCUUGUAGUCCCUGAGCGGGCUGGCAAGGCGCAU
rnacentral:rRNA from 1 species